GUUAAGUGGGCAGACAGAUUGGAACUUGAGGGCCAUAGAUAAGAGAAAUAAAGUGGAGGCUUGAAGGCUAUAAUUUCUCUUUCUGCGGUGGUAACAAAAUCAGGGGAUGGAUGGAGUUGGGUGACUGCAGACUGGAACCAGAGCCGGGAAGAGCAAACUGCGCAGAGCAUGUAAGAAGGACCCCACUCCUCAGGAUGUGCUAUAUGGCAAGAUGGAGAAGGCCUCACUGAAUCCGUCCCACACUCAGUGCCCAAGUCCCAAUACCUGUGACCCCUCUUCCCAGUUGAUUGGAUCCUAGAUUUAACAGUUCCAUGUUUGAUUCUCCUUCCUUCUACUUCUUUACUUUAAAGCAAAACAAAAGAAAAAUAAGUUACCAGGCCCCUGACUUCUGGCCCCUGCUGAGAGCUCAAAGAAGACAGUGCAUCUAAAAGAAUACUCAGUGGACCAGAGGCAGCGGUGCAGGCUUUGGCGUGCACUUUGCGGUUCUAAACUUAUAAUUUAGCCAUAUCCCUAUAUUCAUAAAAUUAAAUAGAAUCCUAGAAAUGAUAGUAAACACAGAAACUGUACAUUGUGACUCAUAUAAAGUGGAAAGCAGGAAGUCCUAAAACUGCCUCCUAAGUCAUCAGAUGAGCUAGAGGGUGCCACCGGCUUAAUGACAGGUUUGCACACUCAGAGAGGACAGUGUAGAAAUGUUUGAGGAGAAAUACCCUUAUCAAGACACAUUCAUACAGUAAACUGGAAUUACCAUCCAACCUAGACAAGAGUGUGUGUUGAAAUUGCCUGAGGAUAUUGUUCACACAGCAAACUGAUGUCAAUCUCAGAUCUUCUGACAUCUGUAUACAUAUGAUGAUCAACAGAAUUCUGCUGAGAAUUGAGUAUUUUCUUCGGGACCCAUCUGCAGCUUCUGUUUACCUUUCUUCCCUGUUCUGAAGGUGUUUGCUCACUUUCCUGUAGUUUUGAUUUGCUCACGAGGAUGCCCAGAAGACAGGAAGGUAAGUGCAUGCAGAAAUUGUGUUAGACCUUUGGGAAUUCCUUCCUCCGGUUCAGUAUUGUGGUUUUGGUUUUGUUUUGUUUAAAAAAAAUGGGUGAGAUGAAAGCCCAUUUUCUCAUUUAUAAAUAUCCCCACGAGAACUGGUAGCUCUGUGAGCACAGAGAAGAGGCAUGACAGACAACCGAUACAUCCUAUCUUUAGAAGUAUUGGUAGGUUUCUAUAGGAAAUACAGUUUAUUCUGGAAGACAUGGUGACCAUAAUUU
rnacentral:lncRNA from 1 species